rnacentral:rRNA from 1 species
AAUAUUGGACAAUGGGCGCAAGCCUGAUCCAGCCAUGCCGCGUGAGUGAUGAAGGCCCUAGGGUUGUAAAGCUCUUUUGUGCGGGAAGAUAAUGACGGUACCGCAAGAAUAAGCCCCGGCUAACUUCGUGCCAGCAGCCGCGGUAAUACGAAGGGGGCUAGCGUUGCUCGGAAUCACUGGGCGUAAAGCGCACGUAGGCGGGUUCUUAAGUCAGAGGUGAAAUCCUGGAGCUCAACUCCAGAACUGCCUUUGAUACUGGGAGUCUAGAGUUCGGGAGAGGUGAGUGGAACUGCGAGUGUAGAGGUGAAAUUCGUAGAUAUUCGCAAGAACACCAGUGGCGAAGGCGGCUCACUGGCCCGAUACUGACGCUGAGGUGCGAAAGCGUGGGGAGCAAACAGG